rnacentral:misc_RNA from 1 species
GAUGAAGAACGUAGCGAAAUGCGAUAAGUAGUGUGAAUUGCAGAAUUCAGUGAAUCAUCGAAUCUUUGAACGCACAUUGCGCCUUCUAGUAUUCUGGGAGGCAUGCCUGUUUGAGCGUCAUUAAACCUCUCUCAAGUAUGAUUACUUGGAUGUGAAGGAAGAGUACCUUAAACUUAAGGAGUGUUCUCCUUUGAAAUUGAUUAGCAGAUGGUAAUGUUAUUAAAUCCCUGAUGUUGUAAGAAAUAACAGUGGUUUUGUAGACUAUUAUCUAGCUUUAAAUAAUAAUUUUUAUUAUGGUUGACCUCAAAUCAGGUAAGGAUACCCGCUGAACUUAAGCAUAUCAAUAAGCGGAGGA